UAUGCCAUACCACCCUGAACGUGCCUGAUCUCAUCUGAUCUUGGAAGCUAAACUAAGUCAGGCUUGGUUAGUACUUGGAUGGUAGAAUUUAGCAGGUCACCAAGGAUUUUCAUGA
rnacentral:rRNA from 1 species